rnacentral:rRNA from 1 species
GACGAACUCUGGCGGCGUGCUUAACACAUGCAAGUCGAACGGAAAGGCCCUGCUUGCAGGGUACUCGAGUGGCGAACGGGUGAGUAACACGUGGGUGAUCUGCCCUGCACUUCGGGAUAAGCCUGGGAAACUGGGUCUAAUACCGGAUAGGAGCCAUUUUUAGUGUGAUGGUUGGAAAGUUUUUUCGGUGUAGGAUGAGCUCGCGGCCUAUCAGCUUGUUGGUGGGGUAAUGGCCUACCAAGGCGGCGACGGGUAGCCGGCCUGAGAGGGUGGACGGCCACAUUGGGACUGAGAUACGGCCCAGACUCCUACGGGAGGCAGCAGUGGGGAAUAUUGCACAAUGGGCGCAAGCCUGAUGCAGCGACGCCGCGUGGGGGAUGACGGCCUUCGGGUUGUAAACUCCUUUCGCUAGGGACGAAGCUUUUUGUGACGGUACCUAGAUAAGAAGCACCGGCUAACUACGUG